rnacentral:rRNA from 1 species
UGACCUGCGGAGGGAUCAUUGUUGGAACGCGCUCCGGCGCACCUCCAGACAACCCUUUGUGAACUUAUACCUAUACUGUUGCCUCGGCGUCAGGCUGGCCCCCCUCGGGGGGUCCCUCACCAUCUCGGUGAGGAGCAGGCCCGCCGGCGGCCAAGUUAACUCUUAUUUUUACACUGAAACUCUGAGAAUAAAACAAAAAUGAAUCAAAACUUUCAACAACGGAUCUCUUGGUUCUGGCAUCGAUGAAGAACGCAGCGAAAUGCGAUAAGUAAUGUGAAUUGCAGAAUUCAGUGAAUCAUCGAAUCUUUGAACGCACAUUGCGCCCUCUGGUAUUCCGGAGGGCAUGCCUGUUCGAGCGUCAUUUCAACCCUCAAGCCUGGCUUGGUGAUGGGGCACUGCCUUCGGUAAGAAGGCAGGCCCUGAAAUUCAGUGGCGAGCUCGCCAGGACCCCGAGCGCAGUAGUUAAACCCUCGCUUUGGAAGGUCUUGGUGCGGCCCUGCCGUUAAACCCCCAACUUCUGAAAAUUUGACCUCGGAUCAGGUAGGAAUACCCGCUGAACUUAAGCAUAUCAAUAAGCCGGAGGA